rnacentral:rRNA from 1 species
GGCGGCGUGCUUAACACAUGCAAGUCGAGCGGUAAGGCCCUUCGGGGUACACGAGCGGCGAACGGGUGAGUAACACGUGGGUAAUCUGCCCUGCACUCUGGGAUAAGCCUGGGAAACUGGGUCUAAUACCGGAUAUGACACCUUUGGGCAUCCAGGGUUGUGGAAAGUUCCGGCGGUGCAGGAUGGGCCCGCGGCCUAUCAGCUUGUUGGUGGGGUAAUGGCCUACCAAGGCGACGACGGGUAGCCGGCCUGAGAGGGCGACCGGCCACACUGGGACUGAGACACGGCCCAGACUCCUACGGGAGGCAGCAGUGGGGAAUAUUGCGCAAUGGGCGAAAGCCUGACGCAGCGACGCCGCGUGAGGGAUGACGGCCUUCGGGUUGUAAACCUCUUUCAGCAGGGACGAAGCGCAAAGUGACGGUAGGUACAGAAGAAGCACCGGCCAACUACGUGCCAGCAGCCGCGGUAAUACGUAGGGUGCGAGCGUUGUCCGGAAUUAUUGGGCGUAAAGAGCUCGUAGGCGGUUUGUUGCGUCGGCUGUGAAAACUCGGGGCUUAACUCUGAGCUUGCAGUCGAUACGGGCAGACUUGAGUUCGGCAGGGGAGACUGGAAUUCCUGGUGUAGCGGUGAAAUGCGCAGAUAUCAGGAGGAACACCGGUGGCGAAGGCGGGUCUCUGGGCCGAUACUGACGCUGAGGAGCGAAAGCGUGGGGAGCGAACAGGAUUAGAUACCCUGGUAGUCCACGCCGUAAACGUUGGGCGCUAGGUGUGGGGUCCNUUCCACGGGUUCCGUGCCGUAGCUAACGCAUUAAGCGCCCCGCCUGGGGAGUACGGCCGC